AUGAACGCUAGCGGGAGGCCUAACACAUGCAGGCCGAGCGGUAUUUGUUCUUCGGAACAGAGAGAGCGGCGCACGGGUGCGGAACACGUGUGCAACCUGCCUUUAUCUGGGGGAUAGCCUUUCGAAAGGAAGAUUAAUACCCCAUAAUAUAUUGAGUGGCAUCAUUUGAUAUUGAAAACUCCGGUGGAUAGAGAUGGGCACGCGCAAGAUUAGAUAGUUGGUGAGGUAACGGCUACCAAGUCAAUGAUCUUUAGGGGGCCUGAGAGGGUGAUCCCCCACACUGGUACUGAGACACGGACCAGACUCCUACGGGAGGCAGCAGUGAGGAAUAUUGGACAAUGGGUUAGCGCCUGAUCCAGCCAUCCCGCGUGAAGGACGACGGCCCUAUGGGUUGUAAACUUCUUUUGUAUAGGGAUAAACCUACUCUCGUGAGAGUAGCUGAAGGUACUAUACGAAUAAGCACCGGCUAACUCCGUG
rnacentral:rRNA from 1 species